AAGCACUUAUGACCAGACUUGCGCCGGUUGAUCAUCCAUCGUUCUCGGUGGUGCACUCUGCCGGCUCAGGCCAGCAUCAGUUCGUCCCGGGGGAUAAAGGCUUUGGGAAUGUGGCUCCUCCGGGAGUGUUAUAGCCCACUGUGUAAUACCCUGGGGUGGACUGAGGUUCGCGCUCCGCAAGGAUGCUGGCGUAAUGGUCAUCAGUGA
rnacentral:rRNA from 1 species